CAUAUUAGCUGGUGGUGCUGGUUGUUGUGGCGCGCAUCUUCCGAUCACGCUCCAGUGAGGGAAUUAAGGACGGCACGUUAUCCUUGUAACGGGGAUCCAGCAGGCUGGCCACCCAGUAAUCAGCAGAAGUUAGAAUGUGAGCAGGCACUUUGGGUACUCUAGAUAACCUCAGGGCAAUCGCACAUCCCUGUGACGGCGAUGACGCAUUCAGAUGUCUGCCCUAUCAACUUUCGAUGGUACUUUCUGCGCCUACCAUGGUGACGACGGGUAACGGGGAAUUAGGGUUCGAUUCCAG